UUCUUUCACGAUAAAAGGUCCUGCAAAGU
rnacentral:sRNA from 1 species